CGCAAGCCUGAUGCAGCGACGCCGCGUGAGGGAUGACGGCCUUCGGGUUGUAAACCUCUUUCAGUAGGGAAGAAGCGAAAGUGACGGUACCUGCAGAAGAAGCGCCGGCUAACUACGUGCCAGCAGCCGCGGUAAUACGUAGGGCGCAAGCGUUAUCCGGAAUUAUUGGGCGUAAAGAGCUCGUAGGCGGUUUGUCGCGUCUGCCGUGAAAGUCCGGGGCUCAACUCCGGAUCUGCGGUGGGUACGGGCAGACUAGAGUGAUGUAGGGGAGACUGGAAUUCCUGGUGUAGCGGUGAAAUGCGCAGAUAUCAGGAGGAACACCGAUGGCGAAGGCAGGUCUCUGGGCAUUAACUGACGCUGAGGAGCGAAAGCAUGGGGAGCGAACAGGAUUAGAUACCCUGGUAGUCCAUGCCGUAAACGUUGGGCACUAGGUGUGGGGGACAUUCCACGUUUUCCGCGCCGUAGCUAACGCAUUAAGUGCCCCGCCUGGGGAGUACGGCCGCAAGGCUAAAACUCAAAGGAAUUGACGGGGGCCCGCACA
rnacentral:rRNA from 1 species